AAGAGACACGCAAUUGAGAAAUGUUAUCAAUUCCUUCAUGCAAGGUUUCGUGAGAGAGCCAUAUUUCUUUGGGUUAAUGUAUAUGGUUCCAGCUUUCCGACCCAUUAUUCCAGUGUAAACUCUGGCCCUACUAGGGCAGCAGCUACAAGACGGAGCAGCCGAGAAUCAAUCCUGUGAUUCUGCGAUCUCAACGGAGCAGGACGGCGCAGCAGCUAGAGAUCGAAGACGGGGCAACAGAGAUUCGAUUCUACAAUUCUGGACAGAGACCCAGCCGUGCAUGCAUCGAGAUUGAUCGGCGACGGUGAGAUUGAGGGGCUGCGCUAAGAGACGAUGACGUUGACAGACACAGAGAGACUUUGAGCUAUCAAGCUAACAAAAAGAAUAGGGCAGUUGCAAAAUGUAAAGAGCAAAGAGAACUAAGAUAGG
rnacentral:misc_RNA from 1 species